GGUACAAGAGUAAAAAAAUUGUAUUUCCUUUGCUCACGGAUUAUGUCCUGGGCUUAAAGUCAUUUAGAUGACAUUUCCGCCAUUCACAUUCGAGGAGUAAACAACAUGGUAGCGGACGAUUUAAGCAGAUCAAAAUGGUCCCAGAACGAGUGGUCUCUCAAUCCAGAAAUUUUCACUCUUCUGGUGAAGAGAUUCGGUCUGCCAGUCAUAGACCUUAUGGCAAGAAGAUCAAAUGCAAAAGUAAGAU